rnacentral:rRNA from 1 species
UACGUAGGUGGCAAGCGUUGUCCGGAUUUAUUGGGUUUAAAGGGUGCGUAGGCGGCCCUGUAAGUCAGUGCUGAAAUAUCCCAGCUUAACUGGGAGGGUGGCAUUGAUACUGCGGGGCUAGAGUACAGAUGAGGUAGGCGGAAUUCCCGGUGUAGCGGUGAAAUGCGUAGAUAUCGGGAGGAACAUCAGUGGCGAAGGCGGCCUUCUGGUCCAGUACUGACACUCAAGUGCGAAAGCGUGGGGAGCAAACAGG